GUUACUGUUAAUGAAACAGUUCUUCAGUAUUUGUAGGUAACAGUAGCUAAUAUGCAGCGAAUGAAGUAAACAUAACAAGAAAACUCAUAAUUGGGAUGAAACAUGCAUUAAUAGUUAAUUGUAAGUUAAAAAUAGCUUAUAGCAAAACUAAAGCUAACAGUUAGCUCCUUGGUAGUUACAAAAUCCAAGACUGAAAUGACUCUAUGUUGUCCUUGACACCUUUAAUAAUAAUUGAAUGUCCUUCAUAAUGAUAUAAAAUAUGAGCCACAACCAGCCCCUGUGCCAGACAGUGGACACUCCUGUUCAACAGUCACCAGGCAGUGAUCAUCACUGAACUUUAUUCCCUCUGUUUUAUUUUUAUUUUUUUAACCUGGCUGUGUCCCAUGUGCAGCCCAGAAGGGACCUGACAAAGGCCCACGUCUGCAGUACAUUUGGGACAAAGAUUUCUGGCAGAAGAAAACGGGUCGUGGUGGAGGAGUGGGUGCAGAGCGGGACGGACUGAAUAACAGAACGGUUCGAACCAACCCUAACCUGCUGGGCUUGACCUCCACCCCCUGCCCAGUGUCAGUGUCAGUGGAUUUAGUUGUUCCAGAUCUAGGACGCCGUGGUCGACCCGCCCUGCGACCAGGAGAGGAUUAGCAGAGACUGGAACACCGGCCAGGACUCGGCAAGAUCUUUACCUCAAUACAGGCAGACUGGGGCAGAGGGACCGAGGAGCUGCGUCGAAGAGAGAUGGAGACGAGUCAGCGAGGUCCCCUUCAACAUGACGAAGGACGCAGGGAGAGCAGAGCAGGACUGUGAGUGCCACCGUCAUGGAGCCCUGACCCACGGGGCAGAUAAAGGUGUGUGAAUGUGUGAGGGCAACUCCAAGUCUUUCCCUCUGUGUUGGACCGUCCCCAACACAUGCUGUGCAGAAAUGUCACUGAUG